rnacentral:rRNA from 1 species
GAUGAACGCUGGCGGCGUGCCUAAUACAUGCAAGUCGAGCGAACGGACGAGACGCUUGCUUCUCUGAUGUUAGCGGCGGACGGGUGAGUAACACGUGGAUCACCUCCCUAUAAGACUGGGAUAACUUCGGGACACCGGAGCUAAUACCGGAUAAUAUUUUGAACCGCAUGGUUCAAAAGUGAAAGUCGGUCUUGCUGUAACUUAUCGAUGGAUCCGCGCUGGAUUAGCUAGUUGGUAAGGUAACGGGUUACCAAGGCAACGAUGCAUAUACGACGUGAGAGGGGGAUCGGCCACACUGGAACGGAGACACGGUCCAUACUCCUACGGGAGGCAGCAGUAGGGAAUCUUCCGCAAUGGGCGAAAGCCUUACGGAACAACGCCGCGUGAGUUAUGAAGGUCUUCCGAUCGUAAAACUCUGUUAUUAGGGGAGAACAGAUGUGUAAGUAACUGUGCACAGCUUGACGGUACCUAAUCAGAAAGCCACGGCUAACUACGUG